UUAAGGAAUUGACGGGACCGCACAAGCGGUGGAUGAUGUGGUUAAUUCGAUGCAACGCGAAAACCUUACCACCUUUGACAUGUACGGAAUCCUUUAGAGAUAGAGGAGUGCUCGAAAGAGAGCCGUAACACAGGUGCUGCAUGGCUGUCGUCAGCUCGUGUCGUGAGAUGUUGGGUUAAGUCCCGCAACGAGCGCAACCCUUGUCAUUAGUUGCUACAUUCAGUUGGGCACUCUAAUGAGACUGCCGGUGACAAACCGGAGGAAGGUGGGGAUGACGUCAAGUCCUCAUGGCCCUUAUAGGUGGGGCUACACACGUCAUACAAUGGAUGGUACAAAGGGUCGCCAACCCGCGAGGGGGAGCCAAUCCCAUAAAGCCAUUCGUAGUCCGGAUCGCAGUCUGCAACUCGACUGCGUGAAGUCGGAAUCGCUAGUAAUCGUGGAUCAGAAUGUCACGGUGAAUACGUUCCCGGGUCUU
rnacentral:rRNA from 1 species